rnacentral:rRNA from 1 species
AGCAAACAGGAUUAGAUACCCUGGUAGUCCACGCCCUAAACGAUGUCAAUUAGCUGUUGGGCAACUUGAUUGCUUAGUAGCGUAGCUAACGCGUGAAAUUGACCGCCUGGGGAGUACGGUCGCAAGAUUAAAACUCAAAGGAAUUGACGGGGACCCGCACAAGCGGUGGAUGAUGUGGAUUAAUUCGAUGCAACGCGAAGAACCUUACCUGGUCUUGACAUGUACGGAAUCCUCCAGAGACGGAGGAGUGCCUUCGGGAGCCGUAACACAGGUGCUGCAUGGCUGUC